AUUGAACGCUGGCGGCAUGCCUUACACAUGCAAGUCGAACGGUAACGCGGGGCAACCUGGCGACGAGUGGCGAACGGGUGAGUAAUGCAUCGGAACGUGCCCAGUUGUGGGGGAUAACUGCUCGAAAGAGCAGCUAAUACCGCAUACGACCUGCGGGUGAAAGAGGGGGAUCGCAAGACCUCGCGCAAUUGGAGCGGCCGAUGUCGGAUUAGCUAGUUGGUGGGGUAAAGGCCCACCAAGGCGACGAUCCGUAGCUGGUCUGAGUGGACGACCAGCCACACUGGGACUGAGACACGGCCCAGACUCCUACGGGAGGCGGCAGUGGGGAAUUUUGGACAAUGGGUGCAAGCCUGAUCCAGCCAUGCCGCGUGCGGGAAGAAGGCCUUCGGGUUGCAAACCGCUUUUGUCAGGGAAGAAAUCUUCUGGGUUAAUACCUCGGGAGGAUGACGGUACCUGAAGAAUAAGCACCGGCUAACUACGUGCCAGCCGCCGCGGUAACAC
rnacentral:rRNA from 1 species